rnacentral:lncRNA from 1 species
GACAAAAAUCAUACGAUUCUCUCAAUACAUGCAUACAUUUUGAUGGAAAUGUAAUGCUCUGGAACCCUAGGCAUAUAUGAACCAGAAACAUGUAUGCAGACUCUACUUACAGACAGCAACAUAGUUGGAAAUAUAGUAAUCACAGUUGGAUAGGAACAAAUAUUUUAUAUCUCUUUCUUAGAGAUCUGGAUUCCACUAAAACGGAUUCAUGGAUGUCAGGGCAUUAGGGAUGUAGACUGAUAACAUACCUCUCCUUUUUCAGUGCCAAACCAACUUAGAAAUAAAAACAAAAGGUCAGAUCAAUAUCCAAAUACAUUAUUCCUCCUAAAGCUGAUUUAGAAACUAUGGCUUAAUGUUGACCAAAAAAGACUUCUAAUAUUGCCCCCUAGCCUUGACUUUAGAACCUGAACAAAAAAAAGUUCAUCUGAAGAACAGUCAGUUACCCACCCAGUGCAGGGAGGGUCUUCACCUGCCUUCCACUUCUCCUGUUCAGAAUCCAGAGGAGAAAGAGAGACUAGAUGUACUCAUUGAUCACUGAGUAA